UGGAGAUCCCUGUCUACUAGAGGCCUUCUAGUGGCUUUAAAAUCCCUAAUGCUCUGGGUAUGAACUACUGAUUAAUGACACAAACUUCUACCACUCAUCUGUGCGCUUGUGUAAAGCAUGAAUUACGCGAGACAAAAAUCAAACCAUCUACAGAGCUUCCCUACCCUACCCCUCCAUCUCUGCAGUGACCUGCUCAAGCAGAUGUACUUUGUGGGAUGUCACGGGACCGUUCUCAGACUUUGGAGGAAACUGUAGAUAUCUCUCCUGGAAAAUGAAGUUCCCUUAAAAUUAGGUUUUAAUGAAAACCCUUGGUUGCUGCAAGAACCUGUAAAGUCGUCUUAAUGUAAGAAGUGUGGUUAAUUGUGCCUAUAAUACUUUAAAGUUAUCCUGCCUCUCUACAUGUACCACUGUUAUUGGGCUAUGCAGUCAUACUCAGUAAAAUUGUA